CAUAGGCUGUUAGGGCUAACGAGGUGAACUGAAACAUCUUAGUAACCUCAGGAAUAGAAAACAAUAGUGAUUUUCCUAGUAGCGGCGAGCGAACGGGAAAUAGCCUAAACCGAGUAUAUGUCAAGCCCGAAAGCGUUGUAUGCUCGGGGUCGUGGGUUUUGAUCGGACGGUGUUUCGGAACCGUCGGGAAGUUACAAAUCUGAUUUAUAACUGAAGCGUCUGGAAGGUCGCACCAUAGAAGGUGACAGUCCUGUAAGUGAAAUAGAUCAGACUUCCUGGGUCAGACACCCAAGUAGCGCGGGACACGAGAAACCCUGUGUGAAUCCGGGAGGACCAUCUCCUAAGGCUAAAUACUCCUUGACGACCGAUAGUGAACCAGUACCGUGAGGGAAAGGUGAAAAGUACCCCGGUGAGGGGAGUGAAAUAGUACCUGAAACCGUUUGCUUACAAGCAGUGGGAGCACUAUGGCGAUCUUUGAUUGCCAGUGUGACCGCGUGCCUUUUGCAUAAUGAGUCAGCGAGUUACUUCUAUGUAGCGAGGUUAAGCCGACAGGUGUAGCCGUAGCGAAAGCGAGUCUUAACCGGGCGCGUUAGUUGCAUGGAGUAGACCCGAAACCAAGUGAUCUAUCCAUGGCCAGGGUGAAGCGCGAGUAAGAUCGCGUGAAGGCCCGAACCGUUGUAUGUUGAAAAAUGCUCGGAUGAGCUGUGGAUAGGGGUGAAAGGCCAAACAAACUUGGAAAUAGCUGGUUCUCCCCGAAAUAUAUUUAGGUAUAGCCUUGCGU
rnacentral:rRNA from 1 species